GUUAUGAGUUACAGAGACCUGCAGGCAAAGCUGAAACUUUAAGCUGAUCCCCUGCCUCAGAAAGGGUAUAGAGUAACACAUCUUUGCUCAGCUUGAAGAAAGACAAGGCUGGAAGCAGGGGCCUUAUCAGGGGCCUAUCUUCCAAGCCUAGCCACCAUGUGAAAUACCUUGAGCCUGAUUGCAGGUUAAUGUAGUCACAGUCUGUUUAAGCUGACCUCAGACAGCUGUUGGAAGAAUGGCUACCUUGCUGUUCUGCUUUGUGCCUGCUGCCAUGUGGGCUGGUCCUGCUUGAUGAUGGAUCCAAAAAUUAGUCUGAAGUAGAAAAGGAUAAGAUUUUGGUUGGAUCUGUGUACCCUGAGGCUAUGGGGUUGUUGGGCCCAACUUGAGGGAGAAGGUACAAAUCUGUGAUCAGAGGAGCAGGAGAGGUGACUUGUCCUCUGGGCAGCUGCUUCUGGUCAAGUUGGUGUCAGCCAUUUGUGAGCACUGAAGAGAUCAUCUGCUCUGUGGAGAGGACAUCUGUCUGAGCCAUGAAGUGACACCUGGCAGCCUUAUUUUCUUUACUGUUCUGCUCUAUGGAGAAAGCAAUCGUUUGCGAAAGGAAACCUGUAUCAUCCACAGGCCACAGCAAAAAGGAUCUUGGCUGACUACAAUGAUUGGCACCUAGUACUGCCAACCUCAGGCACAUGAAAUGAUGUGGGAGUUGGGUGUGUCAGGAAGCAAGGACUGAGCCUCAUGCUGCUAUCUUCUAAGGAUAACUUGCUCUCUUCCUGAUGCUUAAUGGGAACUGGGAUAUGCCUAAUCAGACCAAACAAAAGAUGUAGAGAUUAAACUGCACCAUUAGUAUGCAGUAAUGAGAUGAC
rnacentral:lncRNA from 1 species